rnacentral:rRNA from 1 species
AACGUAGGAGACAAACGUUAUCCGGAGUUACUGGGCGUAAAGGGCGUGUAGGUGGUUUCGUAAGUCUGGCGUGAAAUUUCUCGGCUUAACCGAGGCAGGUCGUCGGAUACUGCGGAACUUGAGGACGGUAGAGGCGUGUGGAAUUCCGGGUGUAGCGGUGGAAUGCGUAGAGAUCCGGAAGAACACCGGUGGCGAAGGCGGCCUGCUGGGCAGUAGCUGACGCUGAGGCGCGACAGCGUGGGGAGCAAACAGG